AUUGAACGCUGGCGGCAGGCUUAACACAUGCAAGUCGAGCGAGCGGCGGACGGGAGUGUAAUGUCUGGAAAACUGCCUGAUGGAGGGGGAAAACUUCUGGAAAGUGUAGCUUACCCCGUAUACCAUCGGAUGUGCCAAGAUGGGUAUAGCUAGUAGGUGGGGUAAAGGCUCACCUAGGCGAAGAUCCCUAGCUGGUCUGAGAGGAUGACCAGCCACACUGGAACUGAGACACGGUCCAGACUCCUACGGGAGGCAGCAGUGGGGAAUAUUGCACAAUGGGCGCAAGCCUGAUGCAGCCAUGCCGCGUGUAUGAAGAAGGCCUUCGGGUUGUAAAGUACUUUCAGCGGGGAGGCGUUACCCGCAGAAGAAGCACCGGCUAACUCCGUGCCAGCAGCCGCGGUAAUUC
rnacentral:rRNA from 1 species